GAUGAACGCUGGCGGCGUGCCUAAUACAUGCAAGUCGAGCGAACAGACGAGGAGCUUGCUCCUCUGACGUUAGCGGCGGACGGGUGAGUAACACGUGGAUAACCUACCUAUAAGACUGGGAUAACUUCGGGAAACCGGAGCUAAUACCGGAUAAUAUAUUGAACCGCAUGGUUCAAUAGUGAAAGACGGUUUUGCUGUCACUUAUAGAUGGAUCCGCGCCGCAUUAGCUAGUUGGUAAGGUAAUGGCUUACCAAGGCAACGAUGCGUAGCCGACCUGAGAGGGUGAUCGGCCACACUGGAACUGAGACACGGUCCAGACUCCUACGGGAGGCAGCAGUAGGGAAUCUUCCGCAAAGGGCGAAAGCCUGACGGAGCAACGCCGCGUGAGUGAUGAAGGUCUCCGGAUCGUAAAACUCUGUUAUUAGGGAAGAACAAAUGUGUAAGUAACUAUGCACGUCUUGACGGUACCUAAUCAGAAAGCCACGGCUAACUACGUG
rnacentral:rRNA from 1 species